rnacentral:misc_RNA from 1 species
UGCAAUUUAAAAGAAUUUACUAAUUUAUGACACUUGCAAUUUAUUACUUUUUUGACAUUUUUAGUUUAUGACACUUGCAACGCAUGACAAUUUUUGAAUGAAAUUAAAUGAUUAACAUCCUUAUAUUAAUUAGGCUUAUAUUUACUAACUUAUCAUUUUCUAAUAAUAACAUUUGCAGGUUAGUAGGUUGCAAGUCGACUUGUCCUGAACAUGUCGAAUUGGGUUAAUGGGUCAACUUGUAACAUGACUCGAUUAUUGACAUGUUUUUGACACAAACACAAAUAAGUUUGUUAUAGAAGUCUUCUUAAUGAG